GUAGCGGCGAGCGAAACGGGAAGAGCCCAAACCAACAAGCUUGCUUGUUGGGGUUGUAGGACUCCGAUAUGGUAGUCUGUCAAGAUAGUCGAAGGACUUGGAAAAGUCCGCUAAAGAGGGUAAAAGCCCCGUAGACGAAAUGUUGGCAACACCUAGGAGGAUCCUGAGUACGGCGGAACACGAGAAAUUCCGUCGGAAUCCGCGGGGACCAUCCCGCAAGGCUAAAUACCCCCUAGUGACCGAUAGUGAACCAGUACCGUGAGGGAAAGGUGAAAAGCACCCCGGAAGGGGAGUGAAAUAGAUCCUGAAACCGUGUGCCUACAACAAGUCAAAGCCCGUUAAUGGGUGAUGGCGUGCCUUUUGUAGAAUGAACCGGCGAGUUACGAUUGCUUGCGAGGUUAAGUUGAAGAGACGGAGCCGCAGCGAAAGCGAGUCUGAAUAGGGCGCAUGAGUAAGUAGUCGUAGACCCGAAACCAUGUGAUCUACCCAUGUCCAGGUUGAAGGUGUGGUAAAACGCACUGGAGGACCGAACCCACGUACGUUGAAAGGUGCGGGGAUGAGGUGUGGGUAGCGGAGAAAUUCCAAACGAACUUGGAGAUAGC
rnacentral:rRNA from 1 species